UACGUAGGGGGCGAGCGUUGUCCGGAUUUAUUGGGCGUAAAGAGCUCGUAGGCGGCUCGGUAAGUCGGAUGUGAAACCUCCAGGCUCAACCUGGAGACGCCAUCUGAUACUGCCGUGGCUUGAGUCCGGUAGAGGAGCAGGGAAUUCCUGGUGUAGCGGUGGAAUGCGCAGAUAUCAGGAGGAACACCAAUGGCGAAGGCAGAUCUCUGGGCCGUAACUGACGCUGAGGAGCGAAAGCAUGGGGAGCGAACAGG
rnacentral:rRNA from 1 species